GACGAACGCUGGCGGCGUGCUUAACACAUGCGAGUCGAACGGAAAGGCCCUGCUUUUGUGGGGUGCUCGAGUGGCGAACGGGUGAGUAGCACGUGAGUAACCUGCCCUUGACUUUGGGAUAACUUCAGGAAACUGGGGCUAAUACCGGAUAGGAGCUCCUGCUGCAUGGUGGGGGUUGGAAAGUUUCGGCGGUUGGGGAUGGACUCGCGGCUUAUCAGCUUGUUGGUGGGGUAGUGGCUUACCAAGGCUUUGACGGGUAGCCGGCCUGAGAGGGUGACCGGCCACAUUGGGACUGAGAUACGGCCCAGACUCCUACGGGAGGCAGCAGUGGGGAAUAUUGCACAAUGGGCGGAAGCCUGAUGCAGCAACGCCGCGUGCGGGAUGACGGCCUUCGGGUUGUAAACCGCUUUCGCCUGUGACGAAGCGUGAGUGACGGUAAUGGGUAAAGAAGCACCGGCUAACUACGU
rnacentral:rRNA from 1 species